GACGAACCGUGCGAACGUUAUUCGGAUUCACUGGGCUUAAAGGGCGCGUAGGCGGGCUCGCCAGUCCGGGGUGAAAUCUUUCGGCUUAACCGGAAAAGUGCCUCGGAUACUGCGAGCCUUGAGGGAGGUAGGGGCAUGUGGAACUUCCGGUGGAGCGGUGAAAUGCGUUGAUAUCGGAAGGAACGCCGGUGGCGAAAGCGACUUACUGGACACAUAUUGACGCUGAGGUGCGAAAGCGUGGGGAGCAAACAGG
rnacentral:rRNA from 1 species